CCUACGGGAGGCAGCAGUGGGGAAUAUUGCACAAUGGGCGAAAGCCUGAUGCAGCGACGCCGCGUGAGGGAUGACGGCCUUCGGGUUGUAAACCUCUUUCAGCAGGGAAGAAGCGAAAGUGACGGUACCUGCAGAAGAAGCGCCGGCUAACUACGUGCCAGCAGCCGCGGUAAUACGUAGGGCGCAAGCGUUGUCCGGAAUUAUUGGGCGUAAAGAGCUCGUAGGCGGCUUGUCACGUCGGGUGUGAAAGCCCGGGGCUUAACCCCGGGUCUGCAUUCGAUACGGGCUAGCUAGAGUGUGGUAGGGGAGAUCGGAAUUCCUGGUGUAGCGGUGAAAUGCGCAGAUAUCAGGAGGAACACCGGUGGCGAAGGCGGAUCUCUGGGCCAUUACUGACGCUGAGGAGCGAAAGCGUGGGGAGCGAACAGGAUUAGAUACCCUGGUAGUCCACGCCGUAAACGGUGGGAACUAGGUGUUGGCGACAUUCCACGUCGUCGGUGCCGCAGCUACGCAUUAACGUUACCCGUCCGUCGGGUACGGUACGGUCCGGCGACGGACGUAAACCGUACGAACGGAACGUUAGUACGGCGUGAGACGUGCCGACGGACGACGACGAGGGAGUAGG
rnacentral:rRNA from 1 species